rnacentral:rRNA from 1 species
GAUGAACGCUAGCGGCAGGCUUAAUACAUGCAAGUCGAGGGGCAGCAUGAUUGUAGCAAUACAAUUGAUGGCGACCGGCAAACGGGUGCGGAACACGUACACAACCUCCCAAUAAGUGGGGAAUAGCCCAGAGAAAUUUGGAUUAAUACCCCGUAACAUAACGAUGUGGCAUCACAUUGUUAUUAUAGAUUUUUCGCUUAUUGAUGGGUGUGCGGCUGAUUAGAUAGUUGGCGGGGUAACGGCCCACCAAGUCUACGAUCAGUAGCUGAUGUGAGAGCAUGAUCAGCCACACGGGCACUGAGACACGGGCCCGACUCCUACGGGAGGCAGCAGUAAGGAAUAUUGGACAAUGGACGCAAGUCUGAUCCAGCCAUGCCGCGUGAAGGAUUAAGGUCCUCUGGAUUGUAAACUUCUUUUAUAAGGGACGAAAAAAGGCUUUUCUAAGUCGUCUGACGGUACCUUAUGAAUAAGCACCAGCUAACUCCGUGCCAGCCGCCGCUGUAAUAC